UACGUAGGGUGCGAGCGUUGUCCGGAAUUAUUGGGCGUAAAGGGCUCGUAGGCGGUUUGUCGCGUCGGAAGUGAAAACCCAGGGCUUAACCCUGGGCUGGCUUCCGAUACGGGCAGACUAGAGGUAUGCAGGGGAGAACGGAAUUCCCGGUGUAGUGGUGGAAUGCGUAGAUAUCGGGAGGAACACCAGUGGCGAAGGCGGUUACCUGGAGCUUUGCUGACGCUGAUGCGCGAAAGCGUGGGGAGCGAUCCGG
rnacentral:rRNA from 1 species